rnacentral:rRNA from 1 species
UACUCGAGUGGCGAACGGGUGAGUAACACGUGGGUGAUCUGCCCUGCACUUCGGGAUAAGCUUGGGAAACUGGGUCUAAUACCGGAUAGGAGCCAUCUUUAGUGUGGUGGUUGGAAAGUUUUUUCGGUGUAGGAUGAGCUCGCGGCCUAUCAGCUUGUUGGUGGGGUAAUGGCCUACCAAGGCGGCGACGGGUAGCCGGCCUGAGAGGGUGAUCGGCCACAUUGGGACUGAGACACGGCCCAA